CACGGAGUUAGCCGAUGCUUUUUCUUCGGGUACUCUCGACGCGGGACGCGUCCCGCUCUUUGCUCCCCGACAAAAGAGGUUUACAACCCGUAGGGCCGUCUUCCCUCACGCGACUUGGCUGGUUCAGGCUCUCGCCCAUUGACCAAUAUUCCUCACUGCUGCCUCCCGUAGGAGUCUGGUCCGUGUCUCAGUACCAGUGUGGGGGACCUUCCUCUCAGAACCCCUACGCAUCGUCGCCUUGGUGGGCCGUUACCCCGCCAACUAGCUAAUGCGGCGCAUGGCCAUCCGCCACCGGUGUUACCCUUUGGUCCCGCCGGGAUGCCCCGGCAGGACGUUAUGCGGUAUUAGACGGAAUUUCUUCCGCUUAUCCCCCUGUGGCGGGCAGGUUCCAUACGUGUUACUCACCGUGCGCCGGUCGCGGCAGGAGUAUGCUACUCCCCGCUCGCCCUCCGACUUGCUAUGUGUUAGGCCUGUCGCUAGCGUUCAUCCGUCGAGCCAGAUCAAAACUCU
rnacentral:rRNA from 1 species